CUACUGUCUCAGGACCUCUACCU
rnacentral:piRNA from 1 species